rnacentral:rRNA from 1 species
UGAGGAAUAUUGGUCAAUGGGCGAGAGCCUGAACCAGCCAAGUAGCGUGCAGGACGACGGCCCUAUGGGUUGUAAACUGCUUUUAUAAGGGAAUAAAGUGAGCCUCGUGAGGCUUUUUGCAUGUACCUUAUGAAUAAGGACCGGCUAAUUCCGUGCCAGCAGCCGCGGUAAUACGGAAGGUCCGGGCGUUAUCCGGAUUUAUUGGGUUUAAAGGGAGCGUAGGCCGGAGAUUAAGCGUGUUGUGAAAUGUAGGCGCUCAACGUCUGCACUGCAGCGCGAACUGGUUUCCUUGAGUACGCACAAAGUGGGCGGAAUUCGUGGUGUAGCGGUGAAAUGCUUAGAUAUCACGAAGAACUCCGAUUGCGAAGGCAGCUCACUGGAGCGCAACUGACGCUGAAGCUCGAAAGUGCGGGUAUCGAACAGGAUUAGAUACCCUGGUAGUCCGCACGGUAAACGAUGGAUGCCCGCUGUUGGUCUGAACAGGUCAGCGGCCAAGCGAAAGCAUUAAGCAUCCCACCUGGGGAGUACGCCGGCAACGGUGAAACUCAAAGGAAUUGACGGGGGCCCGCACAAGCGGAGGAACAUGUGGUUUAAUUCGAUGAUACGCGAGGAACCUUACCCGGGCUUGAAUUGCAGAGGAAGGAUUUGGAGACAAUGACGCCCUUCGGGGUCUCUGUGAAGGUGCUGCAUGGUUGUCGUCAGCUCGUGCCGUGAGGUGUCGGCUUAAGUGCCAUAACGAGCGCAACCCCUCUCCUUAGUUGCCAUCAGGUCAAGCUGGGCACUCUGGGGACACUGCCACCGUAAGGUGUGAGGAAGGUGGGGAUGACGUCAAAUCAGCACGGCCCUUACGUCCGGGGCUACACACGUGUUACAAUGGCAGGUACAGAGAGACGGUCCCUUGCAAAAUGGAUCAAAUCCUUAAAGCCUGUCUCAGUUCGGACUGGGGUCUGCAACCCGACCCCACGAAGCUGGAUUCGCUAGUAAUCGCGCAUCAGCCAUGGCGCGGUGAAUACGUUCCC